GAAAGGAGGAAUCCGGUGGCGGCUGGGCAUGCGGCGCAUUAGCUUGACGGCGGGGUAACGGCCCACCGUGGCGACGAUGCGUAGGGGUUCUGAGAGGAAGGCCCCCCACACUGGAACUGAGACACGGUCCAGACUCCUACGGGAGGCAGCAGUGAGGAAUAUUGGUCAAUGGGCGGAAGCCUGAACCAGCCAAGUCGCGUGAGGGAAUAAGGCCCUACGGGUCGUAAACCUCUUUUGCCGGGGAGCAAGGGCGGGGACGAGUCCCGGCCCGGAGAGUACCCGGAGAAAAAGCAUCGGCUAACUCCGUGCCAGCAGCCGCGGUAAUACGGAGGAUGCGAGCGUUAUCCGGAUUUAUUGGGUUUAAAGGGUGCGUAGGCGGGCUUUUAAGUCAGCGGUAAAAAUUCGGGGCUCAACCCCGUCCGGCCGUUGAAACUGGGGGCCUUGAGUGGGCGAGAAGAAGGCGGAAUGCGUGGUGUAGCGGUGAAAUGCAUAGAUAUCACGCAGAACCCCGAUUGCGAAGGCAGCCUUCCGGCGCCCUACUGACGCUGAGGCACGAAAGUGCGGGGAUCGAACAGGAUUAGAUACCCUGGUAGUCCGCACAGUAAACGAUGGAUGCUAGCUGU
rnacentral:rRNA from 1 species